AGUGCAUGUGGUGGAUGCCUUGGCAGUCAGAGGCGAUGAAAGACGUGAUAGCCUGCGAAAAGCUCCGGGGAGGCGGCAAAUAUCCUUUGAUCCGGAGAUGUCUGAAUGGGGGAACCCACCUACUUUAAGGUAGGUAUUGCAACAUGAAUACAUAGUGUUGCAAGGCGAACGAGGGGAAGUGAAACAUCUCAGUACCCUUAGGAAAAGAAAUCAAUUGAGAUUCCCUCAGUAGCGGCGAGCGAACGGGGAUCAGCCCAUUAAGUUAUGUGUGUUUUAGUGGAACGCUCUGGGAAGUGCGAACGUAGAGGGUGAUAUUCCCGUACACGAAAGGGCACACAUAAUGAUGACGAGUAGGGCGAGGCACGUGAAACCUUGUCUGAAUAUGGGGGGACCAUCCUCCAAGGCUAAAUACUCCUGACUGACCGAUAGUGAACCAGUACCGUGAGGGAAAGGCGAAAAGAACCCCUGUGAGGGGAGUGAAAUAGAUCCUGAAACCGCAUGCAUACAAGCAGUGGGAGCACCUUCGUGGUGUGACUGCGUACCUUUUGUAUAAUGGGUCAGCGACUUAUAUUCAGUAGCAAGGUUAACCGUAUAGGGGAGCCGUAGAGAAAUCGAGUCUUAAUAGGGCGUUUAGUUGCUGGGUAUAGACCCGAAACCAGGCGAUCUAUCCAUGAGCAGGUUGAAGGUUGGGUAACACUAACUGGAGGACCGAACCCACUGUCGUUGAAAAGCCAGGGGAUGACUUGUGGAUAGGGGUGAAAGGCUAAUCAAGCCUGGUGAUAGCUGGUUCUCCCCGAAAGCUAUUUAGGUAGCGCCUCGGACGAAUACCAUAGGGGGUAGAGCACUGUUUCGGCUAGGGGGUCAUCCCGACUUACCAAACCGAUGCAAACUCCGAAUACCUAUGAGUACUAUCCGGGAGACAGACUGCGGGUGCUAACGUCCGUAGUCAAGAGGAAAACAAUCCAGACCGCCAGCUAAGGCCCCAAAAUCAUAGUUAAGUGGGAAACGAUGUGGGAAGGCAUAGACAGCUAGGAGGUUGGCUUAGAAGCAGCCACCCUUUAAAGAAAGCGUAAUAGCUCACUAGUCGAGUCGGCCUGCGCGGAAGAUGUAACGGGGCUAAAACUAUGUGCCGAAGCUGCGGAUGCUGGAGGUAUCAGAAGUGCGAAUGCUGACGUGAGUAACGACAAAACGGGUGAAAAACCCGUUCGCCGAAAGACCAAGGGUUCCAGUCCAACGUUAAUCGGGGCUGGGUGAGUCGACCCCUAAGGCGAGGCCGAAAGGCGUAGUCGAUGGGAAAAUGGUUAAUAUUCCAUUACUUCUGUGUAAUGCGAUGAGAGGACGGAGAAGGCUAAAUCAGCCUGGCGUUGGUUGUCCAGGUGAAAGGAUGUAGGCAUGUAUCUUAGGCAAAUCCGGGGUACUCUAUGCUGAGAUCUGAUAGCAAGCUGUACUUGUACAGCGAAGUGGUUGAUGCCAUGCUUCCAGGAAAAGUCUCUAAGCUUCAGUUACACAGGAAUCGUACCCGAAACCGACACAGGUGGUCAGGUCGAGUAGACCAAGGCGCUUGAGAGAACUCUGCUGAAGGAACUAGGCAAAAUGGUACCGUAACUUCGGGAGAAGGUACGCUGUUGUUGGUGAUGGAACUCGCUUCCUGAGCUGACGACAGCCGCAGAAACCAGGCCGCUGCAACUGUUUAUUAAAAACAUAGCACUCUGCAAACACGAAAGUGGACGUAUAGGGUGUGAUGCCUGCCCGGUGCUGGAAGGUUAAUUGAUGGGGUUAGCGUAAGCGAAGCUCUUGAUCGAAGCCCCAGUAAACGGCGGCCGUAACUAUAACGGUCCUAAGGUAGCGAAAUUCCUUGUCGGGUAAGUUCCGACCUGCACGAAUGGCAUAAUGAUGGCGGCGCUGUCUCCAGCAGAGGCUCAGUGAAAUCGAAAUCGCUGUGAAGAUGCAGUGUACCCGCGGCUAGACGGAAAGACCCCGUGAACCUUUACUGCAGCUUGACACUGAACUUUGACCUUACUUGUGUAGGAUAGGUGGGAGGCUUUGAAGCUGGAACGCUAGUUCCAGUGGAGCCGUCCUUGAAAUACCACCCUGGUAAUGUUGAGGUUCUAACUCUGUCCCGUGAUCCGGGACGAGGACCGUGUCUGGUGGGUAGUUUGACUGGGGCGGUCUCCUCCUAAAGAGUAACGGAGGAGUACGAAGGUGCGCUCAGCGUGGUCGGAAAUCACGCGUAGAGUAUAAAGGCAAAAGCGCGCUUAACUGCGAGACCCACAAGUCGAGCAGGUACGAAAGUAGGUCUUAGUGAUCCGGUGGUUCUGUAUGGAAGGGCCAUCGCUCAACGGAUAAAAGGUACUCUGGGGAUAACAGGCUGAUACCGCCCAAGAGUUCAUAUCGACGGCGGUGUUUGGCACCUCGAUGUCGGCUCAUCUCAUCCUGGGGCUGAAGCAGGUCCCAAGGGUAUGGCUGUUCGCCAUUUAAAGAGGUACGCGAGCUGGGUUUAGAACGUCGUGAGACAGUUCGGUCCCUAUCUACCGUGGGCGCUGGAAAUUUGAGAGGAUCUGCUCCUAGUACGAGAGGACCAGAGUGGACGAACCUCUGGUGUACCGGUUGUGACGCCAGUCGCAUCGCCGGGUAGCUAUGUUCGGAAGGGAUAACCGCUGAAAGCAUCUAAGCGGGAAGCCUACCUCAAGAUAAGAUUUCCCUAGGACUUUAUGUCCUCUAAAGAGCCGUUCGAGACUAGGACGUUGAUAGGUUGGAUGUGGAAGCAUAGUGAUAUGUGAAGCUGACCAAUACUAAUUGCUCGUGAGGCUUGACU
rnacentral:rRNA from 1 species